AGAGUUUGAUCAUGGCUCAGGAUGAACGCUGGCGGCGUGCUUAACACAUGCAAGUCGAACGUGAUCCAGUAGCAAUACUGGUGAAAGUGGCAAACGGGUGAGUAACACGUAGAUGACCUGCCUUGGAGUGGGGGAUAACCACCGGAAACGGUGGCUAAUACCGCAUAUGCUUGUGGCGCUGGGAAGCGCAGCAAGGAAAGCUUUAGGUGCUUCAAGAGGGGUCUGCGUCCGAUUAGCUAGUUGGUGAGGUAAUGGCUCACCAAGCCGACGACGGGUAGCUGGUCUGAGAGGAUGGUCAGCCACAUUGGAACUGAGACACUGUCCAGACUCCUACGGGAGGCUGCAGUCGAGAAUCUUGGGCAAUGCACGAAAGUGUGACCCAGCGACGCCGCGUGAAGGAUGAAGGCCCUCUGGGUCGUAAACUUCUUUUAUGGGGAAAGAAAAGCUCGCAAGAGCCUUGACGGUACCCCAUGAAUAAGCCACGGCUAACUACGUGCCAGCAGCCGCGGUAAUACGUAGGUGGCAAGCGUUGUCCGGAUUUACUGGGCGUAAAGCGUAUGCAGGCGGACUGUUAAGUCCAAGGUGAAAGGUAGGAGCUCAACUCCUACACUGCCUCGGAUACUGGCAGUCUUGAGUGGCGGAGAGGAAGAUGGAACAAGUUGUGUAGCGGUGAAAUGCGUUGAUAUAACUUGGAACACCAAUGGCGAAAGCAAUCUUCUGGACGCAAACGGACGCUGAGAUACGAAAGCUAAGGUAGCAAACAGGAUUAGAUACCCCUGUAGUCC
rnacentral:rRNA from 1 species